GUUUGCCUACGGGAGGCAGCAGUGAGGAAUAUUGGUCAAUGGUCGGGAGACUGAACCAGCCAAGCCGCGUGAGGGAGGAAGGUACAGAGUAUCGUAAACCUCUUUUGUCAGGGAACAAAGACUGGGACGCGUCCCCGGAUGAGUGUACCUGAAGAAAAAGCAUCGGCUAACUCCGUGCCAGCAGCCGCGGUAAUACGGAGGAUGCGAGCGUUAUCCGGAUUUAUUGGGUUUAAAGGGUGCGCAGGCGGUCUGUUAAGUCAGCGGUCAAAGCCCGGGGCUCAACCCCGGCCCGCCGUUGCAACUGG
rnacentral:rRNA from 1 species